AUCACGUGACCAGGUAUUAAAAUGGGAGAAAAAUGCAUCCACUAUGUGUAUCUCCUCACUCAAUGACGCCUCCUCGAAAAAUGGAGGCUCCGCCAUGCCGGAGGCGGCGGAGCGGCCAAAGGUUCCAUAUUGACCAUCUAAAAUGUCCGUCUUGGCAUCCUCUCUCUAACUUAUCCCUUCACUUCCGUCAAUUAAACGGCCGAUAUAUCGAAUCGGGGAAAGAAACUUAGAAACCUAGAACAAGAAAAACUAAAUUAAGCUUCUCCUACGGCUCAGUUCGUUCCCUAAUCCUGGGGUUACAGCCUAUCUAUAUCAACUCUAUCAAUUGGAAACAAGAAAAAGAGAGAUUCAAAGAAGCGUACUAACCUUCGGAAUCAGGGAUUGCUCCAGCCAAACUCGAGUAUGUCGGGGACGAAGAUGGCACGAAUGUCUAAAGAUAAGGUGGACUCUCGAAUUCUUGGACGCUCGAUCUUCUUCUUCGUGCGUGUCGUUUCCGUUCUGGUUCGAAACGCUUUGGCGGUGUUGAAUCCUUCUUGAUUUUUGUAUGCUUGAUGCAGUCUAGCCCAAGCGUAACUGGAGCUUCAAUGUGAAGCUCCAAUGGCUUCCUAAUUGGGCUUUGCGUGAGGUUGAGAGAGAGUCAGAUAAAGAUCGAAGAACGAGUUCCCCCUCAGCUUUCUGUGCAAGUGAUAUUUAUAGAAGUGUCAUGUUAACAGAAAGUAGUUAGAGCUCUUUCUGUUGAGUUCUGGCAAUGGAAGGUUGUUAAGCGUUUCUCACUGUUACAAACUGUUAAGCCGUCAGUAGUUACUCAGUUAAUUCAGUUAGUUGUUCAGGGAACGCGGUUCUGUUAGGACGCCGUGGCGGAACUCUUUUGAGUCGACUACAUGGUGAAAUGGAAUGGAAGGAGUCCAAUUGGAUCGGACGUGAAACUUAAAUAUGUGGAAAGAUGAAGCAGCUUUGGAUGAGCACGUUAGUUAAUUGAUCAUGGUUCUAUCACUCGCAAGAACUACAGCUCUGUUGUUAGAAAAGGCUUAUGCAGGGUAAAUGUUUCGCAUCAGAUCUUUGUACAUCUCGAAGAGUCGUUAUGUGUUGACAAGUAUGAAAUCGUUAUGUGUUGACAAGUAUGAAAUCGUGUUAGUCUAAGUUUGAAAUUGUGUUAGUCCAAGUUUAGAAGCAUGAAUGGUCAGUGAGGUGUUAACAAAUUCAAAUGGGAUUGUCUGACAAAAUGUUAGAUGCUGGUUCUGGUCCGUACUGAAGGUAGCUAGUGCGGACUUUAGUAGAGGAUCGCACAACACCAAAGCUGCAAUUGUAGCUUAGUGGGUUCGGAACCUGGAUCCCAUGCGUAAAAGACGUUUGACACUUGCCGAAGUUUUUUUUUUCUUCUUCCAUUCCUUAUUGAACCAGGCAUUCGAAGGCGGCAACAAUAACUCGACAGGCAAACAUACGGGGUGCGGGAUCGUUGCAUAAGAUUCUCAAACUCAACUCUUAUCCAAACCUUUCAGAUUUGAUAAUUAGUUAGAAGUUCACUUUUCCAAUUCUGUUACAAGAUGAAGCAUAGUGGGUUAUCUCAUAUUUUCCUGUCAUGCUUUUUUCUUUCUCUUUUGUAUUAUGGGAAUUAUGGAAACACACAUUUAGAGCUUGCUGCUGCUUCAAUGAUGGACUUAUGCUAAAAAUUAUGUUUCUAUUAA